UACGUAGGGCGCAAGCGUUGUCCGGAAUUAUUGGGCGUAAAGAGCUCGUAGGCGGUUUGUCGCGUCUGCUGUGAAAACCUAAGGCUCAACCUUGGGCUUGCAGUGGGUACGGGCAGACUAGAGUGCGGUAGGGGUGACUGGAAUUCCUGGUGUAGCGGUGGAAUGCGCAGAUAUCAGGAGGAACACCGAUGGCGAAAGGCAGGGUCUCUGGGGCCCACU
rnacentral:rRNA from 1 species